rnacentral:rRNA from 1 species
AUUGAACGCUGGCGGAAUGCUUUACACAUGCAAGUCGAACGGCAGCACGGGGCAACCUGGUGGCGAGUGGCGAACGGGUGAGUAAUACAUCGGAACGUGCCCAAUCGUGGGGGAUAACGUAGCGAAAGUUACGCUAAUACCGCAUACGAUCUACGGAUGAAAGCGGGGGAACGCAAGACCUCGCGCGAAUGGAGCGGCCGAUGUCAGAUUAGGUAGUUGGUGGGGUAAAGGCUCACCAAGCCAACGAUCUGUAGCUGGUCUGAGAGGACGACCAGCCACACCGGAACUGAGACACGGUCCAGACUCCUACGGGAGGCAGCAGUGGGGAAUUUUGGACAAUGGGCGAAAGCCUGAUCCAGCCAUUCCGCGUGAGUGAAGAAGGCC